rnacentral:rRNA from 1 species
UGGGGAAUCUUGCGCAAUGGGCGAAAGCCUGACGCAGCCAUGCCGCGUGAAUGAUGAAGGUCUUAGGAUUGUAAAACUCUUUCACCGGGGAUGAUAAUGACGGUACCCGGAGAAGAAGCCCCGGCUAACUUCGUGCCAGCAGCCGCGGUAAUACGAAGGGGGCUAGCGUUGCUCGGAAUUACUGGGCGUAAAGGGAGCGUAGGCGGACAUUUAAGUCAGGGGUGAAAUCCCGGGGCUCAACCUCGGAAUUGCCUUUGAUACUGGGUGUCUUGAGUAUGAGAGAGGUGUGUGGAACUCCGAGUGUAGAGGUGAAAUUCGUAGAUAUUCGGAAGAACACCAGUGGCGAAGGCGACACACUGGCUCAUUACUGACGCUGAGGCUCGAAAGCGUGGGGAGCAAACAGGAUUAGAUACCCUGGUAGUCCACGCCGUAAACGAUGAUUGCUAGUUGUCGGGAUGCAUGCAUUUCGGUGACGCAGCUAACGCAUUAAGCAAUCCGCCUGGGGAGUACGGUCGCAAGAUUAAAACUCAAAGGAAUUGACGGGGUCAUAGCUGUUUCCUG